rnacentral:rRNA from 1 species
AUUCCUACGGGAGGCAGCAGUGGGGAAUUUUCCGCAAUGGGCGAAAGCCUGACGGAGCAAUCUCGCGUGAGGGAUGACGGCCUAUGGGUUGUAAACCUCUUUUUUCAGGGAGGAAUAAAAUGACGUGUACCUGAAGAAUAAGCAUCGGCUAACUCCGUGCCAGCAGCCGCGGUAAGACGGAGGAUGCAAGUGUUAUCCGGAAUCACUGGGCGUAAAGCGUCUGUAGGUGGUUUAAUAAGUCAACUGUUAAAUCUUGAGGCUCAACCUCAAAAUCGCAGUCGAAACUAUUAGGCUAGAGUAUAGUAGGGGUAAAGGGAAUUUCCAGUGGAGCGGUGAAAUGCGUAGAGAUUGGAAAGAACACCGAUGGCGAAGGCACUUUACUGGGCUAUUACUAACACUCAGAGACGAAAGCUAGGGUAGCAAAUGGGAUUAGAUACCCCAGUAGUCCUAGCCGUAAACAAUGGAUACUAGAUGUUGAACAGAUCGACCUGUGCAGUAUUAAAGCUAACGCGUUAAGUAUCCCGCCUGGGAAGUAUGCUCGCAAGAGUGAAACUCAAAGGAAUUGACGGAAU